rnacentral:rRNA from 1 species
UGAUCCAGCCAUGCCGCGUGAGUGAAGAAGGCCUUCGGGUUGUAAAGCUCUUUCGGCCGGGAAGAAAUCGCACGUGCUAAUACCCUGUGUGCCUGACGGUACCGUAAGAAGAAGCACCGGCUAACUACGUGCCAGCAGCCGCGGUAAUACGUAGGGUGCGAGCGUUAAUCGGAAUUACUGGGCGUAAAGCGUGCGCAGGCGGUUUUGUAAGUCCGGUGUGAAAUCCCCGGGCUCAACCUGGGAAUUGCGUUCGAGACUGCUAGGCUUGAGUGUGGGAAAGGGAGGUGGAAUUCCACGUGUAGCAGUGA